GACGAACGCUGGCGGCGUGCUUAACACAUGCAAGUCGUACGGUAAGGCCCUUUCUGGGGUACACGAGUGGCGAACGGGUGAGUAACACGUGAGUAACCUGCCCACAACUUUGGGAUAACGCUAGGAAACUGGUGCUAAUACUGGAUAUGUGCUCCUUCUGCAUGGUGGGGGUUGGAAAGCUCCUGGGGGUGUGGGUGGACUCGCGGCCUAUCAGCUUGUUGGUGGGGUAGUGGCCUACCAAGGCGGCGGCGGGUAGCCGGCCUGGGGGGGUGACCGGCCAAAAUGGGGCUGGGAUACGGCCCAGACUCCUACGGGAGGCAGCAGGGGGGAAUAUUGCAAAAUGGGCGCAAGCCUGAUGCAGCAAAGCCGCGUGCGGGAUGACGGCCUUCGGGUUGGAAACCGCCUUCAGCAGGGACGAAGCUUUUUGUGACGGUACCUGCAGAAGAAGCACCGGCUAACUACGUG
rnacentral:rRNA from 1 species